GUAGGUGAACCUGCGGAAGGAUCAUUAACACAAAUUCACACAUUUAAACAAGCCUAUAGCAGUCGUGCAGCAGCUAGUCUGCAGCACACAGCAAACCUAAACUAAAGGAAGCUAACUAAGCUACUUUAAAAACCAAAUUUUCAACGGUGGAUGUCUUGGUUCCUACAACGAUGAAGAACGCAGCGAAGUGCGAUAAGCAAUGCGAAUUGCAGAACCGUGAGUCAUCAGAUUUUUGAACGCAACUGGCGCCGGCUGGUUCUCCAGACGGCAUGCUUGUCUCAGUGUCUUAUUUCCCCCUCACCCAAAUCAUAAUGCAAGAGAUACCCUUCUCUUGUCAAGCAUGAAAGCGCUCUGCGCUCUGCGAGCUACAGUUUUCGAACGGUAGCGCUCAAUGCAGCGGUCACAUUGCUAUCAAUGUGAACUCAUUGAGAGCAGAGGCAGUCAGUAGGACUCUGUCUUGCUGGAGAGCUUAGCUAACCAAACUUCUAUUGUAUCUGAGAUCAAGCAGGAGGACCCGCUGAACUUAAGCAUAUCACUA
rnacentral:rRNA from 1 species